rnacentral:rRNA from 1 species
CAGCCGCCGCGGUAAUACAGAGGGGGCGAGCGUUAUUCGGAAUUAUUGGGCGUAAAGGGCGCGUAGGCGGCAUGGCAAGUGGAAGGUGAAAUCCCUCGGCUCAACCGAGGAACUGCCUUCCAGACUGCUUUGCUUGAGUCCGGGAGAGGUGAGUGGAAUUCCCAGUGUAGCGGUGAAAUGCGUAGAUAUUGGGAGGAACACCAGUGGCGAAGGCGGCUCACUGGACCGGAACUGACGCUGAGGCGCGAAAGCGUGGGGAGCAAACGGG